rnacentral:lncRNA from 1 species
ACUUUGCGAGCGGCCUCCGUGUGCCGAAAAUAGGCCACGGGCACAGCCACGCCCAAAAAUAACCGCCCGAAGGUGGGGGCGCCAAGUUCGUACAGCGGAAAAAGGCCACAAAAACAGGUGGGCUAUAGCCUUGGGGGGUGGGGCUGGCCAGCUUCGUCCGCCGGACUCGGAAUGGCGCGAGACUUUGCGAGCGCCCUCCGUGUGCUGAAAAUAGGCCCCGUGCACAGCCGCGCCAAAAAAUAACCACCCGAAGGCCGGGGCGCAAAGUUCGUGCAGCGGAAAAAGGCCACAAAAACGGGUGGGCUAUAGCCUUGCGGGGUGGCGCUGGCCAACUUCUUCUGCCGGACUCGGAAUGGCGCGAGACUUUGCGAGCGGCCUCCGUGUGCCAAAAAUAGGCCCCGGGCACAGCCACGCCCAAAAAUAACCGCCCGAAGGCCGGGGCGCCAAGUUCGUCCAGCGGAAAAAGGCCACAAAAACGGGUGGGCUACAGCCUCGGGGGGUGGGGCUGGCCAACUUCUUCCGCCGGACUCGGAAUUUUUGGCUGCGAGACUUUGCGAGCGGCCUCCGUGUGCCGAGAAUAGGCCCCGGGCACAGCCGCGCCCAAAAAUAACCGACCGAAGGCCGGGGCGCCAUGUUCGUCCAGCGGAAAAAGGCCACAAAAACGGGUGGGCUACAACCUUGGGGGAUGGGGCUGGCCCACUUCGUCCGCCGGACUCGGAAUGGUGCGAGACUUUGCGAGUGGCCUCCAUGUGCCGAAAAUAGGCCCCAGGCACAGCCGCACCCGAAAAUAACAGCCCGAAGGCUGGGGCGCCAAAUUCGUCCAGCGGAAAAAGGCUACAAAAACAGGUGGGCUAUAGGCUUGGGGGGUAGGGCUGGCCAACUUCAUCCACCGAACUCGGAAUGGUACGAGACUUUGCGAGCGGCCUCUGUAUGACGAAAAUAGGCCCCGGGCAGAGCUACCCCCACAAAUAACGGGUGGGCUAUAGCCUUGGGGGGUGGGGCUGGCCAACUUCGUCCGCCGGACUCGGAAUGCCGCGAGACUUUGCGAGGGGCCUCCGUGUGCCAAAAAUAGGCCGCGGCCAAAGGCGCGCCCAAAAAUAACCGCCCGAAGGCCGGGGCGCCAAGUUCGUCCGGCGGAAAAAGGCCACAAAAACGGGUGGGCUAUAGCCUUGGGGGGUGGGGCUGGCCAACUUCGUCCGCCGGACUCGGAAUGCCGCGAGACUUUGCGAGGGGCCUCCGUGUGCCAAAAAUAGGCCGCGGCCAAAGGCGCGCCCAAAAAUAACCGCCCGAAGGCCGGGGCGCCAAGUUCGUCCGGCGGAAAAAGGCCACAAAAACGGGUGGGCUAUAGCCUUGGGGGGUGGGGCUGGCCAACCUCGUCCGCCGGACUCAGAAUGCCGCGAGACUUUGCGAAGGGCCUCCUUGUACCAAAAAUAGGCCGCGGGAAAGCCGCGUCCAAAAAUAAAUGCCCGAAGGCCGGGGAGCCAAGUUCGUCCCGCGGAAAAAGGCCACAAAAACGGGUGGGCUAUAGCCUUGGGGGGUGCGGCUGGCCCACUUCGUCCGCCGGACUAGGAAUGCCGCGAGACUUUGCAAGGGGCCUCCGUGUGCCAAAAAUAAGCCACGGGCAAAGCCGCGCCAAAAAGUAACCGCCUGAACGCCGGGGCGCCAAGUUCGUCCAGCGGAAAAAGGCCACAAAAACGGGUGGGCUAUAGCCUUGGGGGGUGGGGCAAGCCGACUUCGUCCGCCGGACUCACAAUGCCGCGAGACUUUGUAAGGGGCCUCCGUGUGCCAAAAAUAGGCCGCGGGAAAGCCGCGUCCAAAAAUAAACGCCCGAAGGCCGGGGCCCCAAGUUCGUACAGCGGAAAAAGGCCACAAAAACGGGUGGGCUACAGCCUUGGGGGGUGGGGCUGGCCAACUUCGUCCGACGGACUCGGAAUGCCGUGAGACUUUGCGAGGCACCUCCGUGUGCCAAAAAUAGGCCACGGGCAAAGUUGCACCCAAAAUUAACCGCCCGAAGGCCAGGGCUCCAAGUUCGUCCAGCGGAAAAAGGCCACAAAAACGGGUGGGCUACAGCCUUGGGGGGUGGGGCAGGCCAACUUCGUCCGCCGGACUCGGAAUGCCGCGAGACUUUGCGAGGGGCCUCCGUGUGCCAACACUAGGCCGCGGGCAAAGCCUCACCCAAAAAUNNNNNNNNNNNNNNNNNNNNNNNNNNNNNNNNNNNNNNNNNNNNNNNNNNNNNNNNNNNNNNNNNNNNNNNNNNNNNNNNNNNNNNNNNNNNNNNNNNNNNNNNNNNNNNNNNNNNNNNNNNNNNNNNNNNNNNNNNNNNNNNNNNNNNNNNAGGCCGGGGCCAAAGCUGCGCCCAAAAAUAACCGCCGGAAGGCCGGGGCGCCAAGUUCGUGCAGGGGAAAAAGUCCACAAAACCGGGUGGGCUAUAGCCUUGGGGGGUGGGGCUGGCCAACUUCGUCCGCCGGACUCAGUAUGCCGCGAGACUUUGCGAGGGGUCUCCGUGGUCAAAAAUAGGCCGUGGACAAAGCCGCGCGUAAAAAUAACCGCCCGAAGGCCGGGGCGCCAAGUUCCUCCAGCGGAAAAAGGCCACAAAAACGGGUGGGCUACAGCCUUGGGGGGUGAGGCUGGUCCACUUCGUCCGCCGGACUCGGAAUGCCGCGAGACUUUGCAAGGGGCCUCCAUGUGCGAAAAAUAGGCCGCAUGCAAUGCCGUGCCCAAAAAUAACCGCCCAAUGUCUGCGGCGCCAAGUUCGUCCAGCGGAAAAAGUCCACAAAAACGGGUGGGCUAUAGCAUUGGGGGGUGGGGCUGGCCAACUUCGUCCGCCGGACUCGGAAUGCCGCGAGACUUUGUGAGGGGCCUCCGUGUGCCAAAAAUAGGCCGUGGGUAUAGCCGCGCCCGCAAAUAACCGCCCGAAGGGCCGGGGCGCCAAGUUCGUCCAGCGGAAAAAGGCCACAAAAACGGGUGGGCUAUAGCCUUGGGGGGUGGGGCUGGCCCACUUCGUCCGCCGGACUCGGAAUGGCGCGAGACUUUGCGAGGGGCCUCCGUGUGCCAAAAAUAGGCCGCGGGCAAAGCCGCACCCAAAAAUAAC